rnacentral:rRNA from 1 species
CGGCUUGUUAACCCAAUAUUAAAAGGUUAAUAUCGACUAUGUCGAAUAAAGUUCUAGAUAGAAUACUGAUUAUGACAAUUUUCUAUCUAUUUGUCUUGACCCAAUUACGUGCCAGCAGUCGCGGUAAUACGUAGAAGACUAGUGUUAUUCAUCUUUAAUAGGUUUAAAGGGUACCUAGACGGUAUUAUUAGCCCAGAAAAGGGUACGAUUUUACUAGAGUUUUAUAUGAGAAGGUAGUAUUUAUGGAGGAGAGAUUAAAUACGAUGAUACCCUAAGGACUGGUAACGGCGAAAGCAACCUUCUAUCUAAUAACUGACGUUGAGGGACGAAGGCCUGGGUAGCAAAGAGGAUUAGAUACCCUAGUAGUCCAGGCAGAGAAUUAUGAAUGCUAUAGAUUAGAUUAUAUUUAGACUAUAAAUGAAAGUGUAAGCAUUCCACCUUAAGAGUAAUGUGGCAACGCAGGAACUGAAAUCAUUAGGCCGUUUCUGAAACCAGUAGUGAAGUAUGUUAUUUAAUUCGAUAGCCCUCGAAAAACCUUACCACAAUUUGCAUAUUAUGUACAUAUUAAUGAGUACAUAUUUACAAGCGUUGCACGGCUGUCUUCAGUUAAUGUCGUGAGAUUUUGGUUAGUUCCAUAAAAUUAACGUAAACCCUUGCUUUAUUUUUAAAUUAUUUUUUAUAAAGUAGUUCGCCAUUAUAUUGGUUUGAUAUAUGGGACCAAGACAAGUCAUCAUGGCCUUUAUAUUGUGG